GACGAACGCUGGCGGCGUGCUUAACACAUGCAAGUCGAACGGAAAGGCCCUGCUUUUGUGGGUUGGUCGAGUGGCGAACGGGUGAGUAACACGAGAGUAACCUGCCCUUGACUUUGGGAUAAGUUCAGGAAACUGGGGCUAAUCCAGGAUAGGAGCUCCUGCUGCAUGGUGGGGGUUGGACAGUUUCGGCGGUUGGGGAUGGACGCGCGGCUCAUCAGCUUGUUGGUAGGGUAGUGGCUUACCAAGGCUUUGACGGGUAGCCGGCCUGAGCGGGUGACCGGCCACGUUGGGACUGAGAUACGGGCCAGACGCCUACGGGAGGGAGCAGUGGGGAAUAUUGCACAAUGGGCGGAAGCCGGAUGCAGCAACGCCGCGUGCGGGAUGACGGCCUUCGGGUUGUAAACCGCUUUCGCCUGUGACGAAGCGGGAGUGACGGUAAUGGGUAAAGAAGCACCGGCUAACUACGUG
rnacentral:rRNA from 1 species